UUGACAUUUUGUUACACUUGCACUCACAGAAAACUUUUACUUAGAGCUUGCACUUCCUAAAACAUUGAUUUCGAUUAGUCAAACAAGUGAAGUUUCAUAUUUUACUUUAAGACUACCGUAAAAAAGGUUGUUAUUUAUAUAUGACUUAAAAUGGGCGAUAAAUCAACUCCGCUGUUAGCGGUCCUUCAACUUUUGCGAAAGUAUGAUUUAAAGGGCACUGAAGAAAUUUUAAGGAAAGAAGCAAAUCUAGGUGACGCUGAAUAUGAAAACUUGGAUUUACCUGAAGUUGAACUUGCCAGUAUACUUACAGCACAUCAUACCGAAAGUGAUCCAUAUAGCUACGAGUUUGCUUAUGACAGCCUAAAAAAGUUUGUGGAAAAUUCUUUAGAUAUUUAUAAGUAUGAGCUGUCAACUUUCCUGUAUCCAGUAUUUGUUCAUAUGUAUUUAAUCCUUAUUUUAUAUGAUCACAAUGAGCAUGCUAAAAAAUUUAUGGAAAAAUUUGGUCCAGAACAAGAAGAUUAUUAUCAAGAGGAUCUUAAGCGGUUGGCAGUGGUAGAAAACAAAGAUCAAAUAAAGGGUAAUGAACUUGCAGAGGUAUACAAAACAAACAAAUUUCAAAUUCAACUGUCAAGAGAUGCUUCUACACAAUUAAAAAGAUACCUACAUGAGCAAAAAAGUUCACCAAUUAUAAUAAAUAUUAUUAAUAAUCACAUCCAGAUUGACAUUCAUGAUGGCCCAGGCAGAACACAAGCCCAAGUAAAAGCAACUGUCGGUGGACUACUAGGUGAAGCUUCAAGGAAUGAUAACCGCACCAAAGUUUACUAUGGACUUCUAAAGGAGCCUGAUAUUCAAGUUCUUCCUACUCCAAUUGAAGAUGAAGAUGAAGCGGAUGAAACUCCAGAUAAACCAAAAAAGAAGAAAGCUAAAAAAGAUAAUAUAUUUAUGAAAAAACCAAAAUCUGAUCCAAAUGCUCCUCCUAAUGACAGAAUCCCAUUACCCGAAUUAAAAGAAACUGAUAAAAUUGAGAAAGGUAAAGCUCUCAGAGAAGCUACUAAACGUGUCCAGCUUGGUCCUGACAGUCUACCUUCUAUUUGUUUCUACACACUAUUGAACAGCGGCCAAACUGCUGUUUGUGCUGACAUUUGUGAUGAUUCCACUUUACUUGCUGUAGGCUUUAACAAUUCUUCUAUUAAGGUAUGGACAUUAACAACUAUUCGCUUAAGAGGAAUGAAAUCAGCAGAAAAAUUGCAAGAUAUUGACAGAGAAGCAGGUGAUGUUUUGGUAAGAAUGAUGGAAGAAAAAGACAGAGACACAUGUCGUACCCUAUUUGGACACUCAGGUCCUGUGUAUAAAGUUGCGUUUGACCCAUUUAAAACAAUGCUGCUGUCUUGUUCAGAAGAUUCAACAAUUAGACUAUGGUCGCUACAGUGCUGGACCUGUUUGGUGGUGUACCGCGGUCACGUUUGGCCAGUAUGGGACGUUCGUUGGUCACCGUACGGCUACUACUUUGCGUCGGGUGGCCACGACCAUACGGCUCGCCUCUGGGCCACCGAUCACCACCAGCCUCUUAGGAUCUUUGCGGGACACCAUUCUGAUGUCGAUUGCAUACAAUUUCAUCCAAAUUCAAAUUACAUUGCUACUGGCUCCAGCGACCGUACUGUGAGACUAUGGGACUGCUUAACUGGAACCCAAGUUCGGAUAAUGACUGGCCAUAAACUUUUUCUGCGUGUGGGAGAUGGUUAGCAUCAGGAGCUGGAAAUGGAGAAAUAGUGGUGUGGGAUUUGUCGACAGGCCUGCCUACAGCCACAUUACCGCCUAUGCAUUCGGCACCUGUUCAUGCAUUAGCCUUUAGUCGCGACGGAACUAUCUUAUCUUCUGGUGCUUUGGAUUCUACUAUCAAGCUUUGGGACUUUAGCUUAAUAUCUGACGAAAGUUCUAGCGAAGAAAGUGGGAUUACUAAUGUAAUGCAAAAGGAAGAAAAAUUUUUAUUACAUUCUUUUGCAACAAAAAAUUCACCUAUUAAAAAUUUACAUUUUACUAGAAGGAACCUUCUGUUAGCUGUCGGAUCAUACGAAGGAAGUUCAUAGAAUGUAGUUUAUUAAACCAAUUUAUUAAAUAAACAUUUCAAUUACA